rnacentral:misc_RNA from 1 species
CUGGGCCUCCUCGUGAAAAGACUCCCAGCGGACGAUGCAGUGGCCUUUCGCGUGAAAAGAGACCCAUCGGCCGCGCGGGACCCGGCGAAUUUUCACCGGCGAGACACCUGGGCGAACGAGGUGAUGCCGCGCGGGGAAACUAGAGCGGCCCGUGCGUCCACGCCGGAACAGCCGUCCGAUGGGCCGCCGGCGCGGAUCUGGCCGCUCCCUCCGCGGUACGCGCUGUCCCACGGCCACGAGCGUAUAAAGGCGUCGGAAUCGCUCGGUUCGGUUCGGUUCAGCGAGUGGGGUCGAAUGCAGCCGGGCAGUCCCUCGGUUCUGCGGUCGGCCGCGCCCGGCGGCGACGCGUUUGGGGCGCGCGGCGGCCGGCACCCGGCAGCGGGCUUUGGCACGCGCACUGGGGUUUGUUCGCGUCCGAAACGGAAAUUUGUUCGAACCACUGAUAGAUGCCCGAGCGCGAGCGCAGUUGUUCCCGUUGUUGUUUAA